UUGGGACUUGUUAAGCCUAAAGGCGUAAUGAAAGUGAAAAUCGGCCUUAGCGUCGAUCGAGGGAGGAUGGCUCGCGUUACGAUGCGAGCCCGCACUCCCGGGGCGUCUCGUGCUCAAUGCGAGCAGAGGCGCACCCAGAGCGUACACGUUGGGACCCGAAAGAUGGUGAACUAUGCCUGGUCAGGACGAAGUCAGGGGAAACCCUGAUGGAGGUCCGUAGCGAUUCUGACGUGCAAAUCGAUCGUCGGAACUGGGUAUAGGGGCGAAAGACUAAUCGAANNNNNNNNNNNNNNNNNNNNNNNCCAUCUAGUAGCUGGUUCCCUCCGAAGUUUCCCUCAGGAUAGCUGGCACUCGCUUGAGCGAGUCUCAUCUGGUAAAGCGAAUGAUUAGAGGCCUUGGGGCCGAAACGACCUCAACCUAUUCUCAAACUUUAAAUGGGUGAGAUNUCUGGCUUGCUUGAACGUUGAAGCCAUGAGAUUAUAAAUUGGAUCAGAGUGCCAAUGGC
rnacentral:rRNA from 1 species